UCAUGUACCCUUCUUUAUGUCCUACAGAGGAGCACACAAUCUUUACCUUCGUGAAGGUCUGUUGCAUUUUUGGGAAGUGGUUUUGGGAGAAGGUUUAAAAAGUGUCACAUUUCCUGCUUCAAAAAAGGACUAAACAAAAGAGGGUUCCUCGAGUUGCAGUGUGACAAGCUGCAAAUUAAAAAAGGACUGAUGUUGCAAUACUGCAAUUUUCUGUGGAUUCUAUCCUUCAUUCCACCGGAGUCUGUAUCUCUAAGCAAUCAGAUUUCAGUGGUGUGAAGCAUAGAAGACAGGGAGUCAUCACACAAAUGUUCCUGUGUGCAAAAAAAAUUUCUCACAGGAGAGACUGGACAACAAAGCAGGAUGAGGGUGCUGAGAAUCACCAAAAUAAUUUCUUUAUAAAUAAUAAGCCAAAACUCUAAGCUUUAAGCAAUUCUAUUGGUUUUAAUUACAGUGAGUUUGUAUCCUUAGAUAUUCACAGCCUUUUGUCAGUGGUAUAUGUGUGGGUGUGUGUAUUUAGAUUGCUGGUUUAAGCAUUUGGAGUCUGUUAAACAGUGUAAAUGUACCCCAACACACACACACACACACACACACACACACACACACACACACACACACACACACACACACACA